rnacentral:rRNA from 1 species
AACGAACGCUGGCGGCAGGCUUAACACAUGCAAGUCGAGCGCCCCGCAAGGGGAGCGGCAGACGGGUGAGUAACGCGUGGGAAUCUACCCAUCUCUACGGAAUAACGCAUGGAAACGUGUGCUAAUACCGUAUACGUCCUUCGGGAGGAAGAUUUAUCGGAGAUGGAUGAGCCCGCGUUGGAUUAGCUAGUUGGUGGGGUAAAGGCCUACCAAGGCGACGAUCCAUAGCUGGUCUGAGAGGAUAAUCAGCCACACUGGGACUGAGACACGGCCCAGACUCCUACGGGAGGCAGCAGUGGGGAAGAGUGGACAAGGGGCGCAAGCCUGAUCCAGCCAUGCCGCGUGAGUGAUGAAGGCCCUAGGGUUGUAAAGCUCUUUCACCGGUGAAGAUAAUGACGGUAACCGGAGAAGAAGCCCCGGCUAACUUCGUGCCAGCCGCCGCCGUAAAAC